rnacentral:rRNA from 1 species
AAGGGCCAUCGCUCAACGGAUAAAAGGUACUCCGGGGAUAACAGGCUGAUACCGCCCAAGAGUUCAUAUCGACGGCGGUGUUUGGCACCUCGAUGUCGGCUCAUCACAUCCUGGGGCUGAAGUAGGUCCCAAGGGUAUGGCUGUUCGCCAUUUAAAGUGGUACGCGAGCUGGGUUUAGAACGUCGUGAGACAGUUCGGUCCCUAUCUGCCGUGGGCGCUGGAGAACUGAGGGGGGCUGCUCCUAGUACGAGAGGACCGGAGUGGACGCAUCACUGGUGUUCGGGUUGUCAUGCCAAUGGCACUGCCCGGUAGCUAAAUGCGGAAGAGAUAAGUGCUGAAAGCAUCUAAGCACGAAACUUGCCCCGAGAUGAGUUCUCCCUGAGACUUAAAGUCUCCUGAAGGAACGUUGAAGACGACGACGUUGAUAGGCCGGGUGUGUAAGCGCAGCGAUGCGUUGAGCUAACCGGUACUAAUGAACCGUGAGGCUUAACCUUACAACGCCGAAG